CCUGAUGACUUGCAUUUUCUCCCAGACAGCUGCCAUUUUGGUCUUCCAGCCAUUCUCAAGACUAGAAGUGUACAGCUUUGCGCAAGGGCAACUUCUCUGCAUGGCAGAGGUGAGGGGAAAUGAAAAUGAUGCUGGGACUAAGUGUCGCCUCUCUGAGAAGUGUCGCAGUCGCAGUCAUGUGGCAUGUCUGUUACAUUUCCCAGAAUGGUUCCCAGCGCUGGAGCUAAUUCCUUUUCGGAGAACCUACAUUUCUCACCUGCUGAUUGCAAUUAGCCACUGCCAGCUGGGGCCUGGUAUGCAGCGGAAAAGCUAACAAGAAGUAGAGACCGCGCGGAACCCAGACAGGGCAGAGGAUGUGCAUAAGUUUUGUUGAAACUGUCAACAGGGCAAGAGGUGAAUGCAGCAAAUCGUAAGGAGAAGACCUGAAUGAGGCAAGUGGCCACUCACCUUGUACCUGGGUCCCAAAUCCCCAGAGGCUCCAGGCUCAGCAACAGAUGCUCACAAUGAUGGCAACUGCUGAAGUUGAUGGGUAAUGAUUUUGCGGCAUCGUCUCCACUGACUCGGGCCCUCCUCCACCCUGGCUGCUGCCGAAGACCCCAGGAAGCAUGGCCCUGACCUCUGUUUAGUCUCCAUUCAGGAGCAGCCGGCCACCAUGUUGUAAGGCAACCCUGUGCCUGAGGCCAGCCAGCAGCCCUAAGAGUGGGCUUAGGAGCAGAUCCUGCCCCCACCGAGCCUGGAAAUGGGACUGCAACCCCAGUGAUACCUGGACUGAAGCCUCGUGAGGGACACCGAGCCAGAGAACCCAGCUAAGCCGCGUCCAAAUUCCUGACCUUCAGAGAUGAACCUAGCUGCCGUGCUGGGAGAAGCCCAGACCAUCUGGAAGAGGCCACAUGGAGGAGAACGGAAGCUCUGGACCCCAGCCCUGGCGGAGCUCCGCAGCCGGCCGCCGUCAGCACCAACGUGGCAGCCACGUGAGGGAGCCAUCUUGAAAGUGGACCUUCCAGCCCCAGCCGAGCCACCCCAGUUGACACCCCAUGAGGUGGAGGGUUUGGGCCUGAGGUGUGUGAUGAUCCCAUCUGCGCUCUUGUAUCUCACGAGGCCGAUGAAGCCGCACCUUCAGGACUGCUCACUUGCGUGGACCUCUUUUUUGUACAUUUGCGAAAGUACAAGUGCGGCGUGUGCUUGGACAACCCUCGGGCCCUCUACAUAUAAGCGAUUUAUAGCCGGGUCUGAAUGGAUUGGAAUCAGAUGGCAAAACCCAGAUUAACCCCCUGGAUCCUGGUGGCCAUUGGUCAGUCUUUGCUGUUAAUGAUACUUUCACCCGAGUGAAUGCAUUAAAGACGUUCCUUUUAAGAUAAAUAUGCAGCUCGGUCCCUGAUGUCUGCCUGUCGCAAAAACGUGUGAUGGGAGACCAAAUGUCAAUAAAAUCUCCCUGCCCGCCUCAACCCGGUACAUAAUCAGCUCGAAGGUAAAUAAAUGCAAAGGAAUGCAAAGCCAGAGACGUUAGCGUACUCGCCAGAGCCACACCAGUAAUAAGAGGCAGAGCCAGAGUUGCAACCCAGUCAGCUGCGGCGUCUACCUCUCCCCAGCCUCCCAGCCUGGGAAAUUCAAGAAAUCGAAUGCAUCAUCUCUGAGGGGAAAAGGAGAUAAAGGUCCAGAACCCAUCCAAACGCUUCGUUCGGACCAGAUCUUUUCCAAAGGGAACGCACCAGAUGAUGGGCAUGAAAGGCCCUUAGAAAUGAGAUCAAUCUCGGCCUCUCUCUGAGGACAGCACUCAGGACCAGAGACUGGAGCCGGCUUGUUCAAGGUCACUCGGCGAGCUAAUGGAAGACCCGGGGCCACAGGUCAGAGGUCAUGGUUCACUGCACUAUUUUAUUCUGCACAUACACACAAAAAUGAUUUGGGGAAAUUCUUUAGCAAAGGCAGAAGAGUGAAAGCUGGCAAAUUUUGGAUGGAAAUUUAAGACAGAGCAUGAGUCAGAUCUCUUUAAAGUAUCACUCAGUGUUUUUGCUGUGACAGUACAUAAAAAUAACACUAGCUAACUAGUUUAGUGAAGGCUUGCCACCAGCCAGACACUGCCUUAAACACUUGACACACUUUUUUGCAUUUAAAUCUCCAAACGAUGCUCUGAGAAAGGAAUCCAUUUCACAGAUGAGGAAACUGAGACUUAGGGAAAGGAACUUUCCCAAAGGUACCCGGAUAGGGCAAUUUUGACAGCGGCUGGAGCAUAACAACACUCUGAAAUUCACAGCCAUUCUCGUCAUAUGUCCCUUAGAUUUCUGAUGCUGAGAUUGAGCCUCGUAUUCAGUCUAUGCGGGCACCAUCUGCAGCUGUAGAGGCCUUGUUCUAAACAUCUCACGUCAGCCCUGCCAAAGUGCAGCUUUGCAAGUGAGCCCCCAGAAACCCAUUCAUUCAUUUAUCCAUUCAAUAAUUUUUUUUCUUUUUAGGGCUGCACCCGCUGCAUUCGACCCCUAGUUCCUGGGCUAGGGGUCGAAUUGGAGCUGGAGCUGCCGGCUUAUACCACAGCCACAGCAACAUGAGACCUGAGCUGGUGACCUACACCUCAGCUCACAGCAACACCAGAUCCUUAACCCACUGAGUGAGGCCACGGAUGGAACCAGCAUCCUCAGGGAUACUAGUCAGGUUCUUAACCCACUGAGCCACAAUGGGAACCCUAUUCAAUAAUUUUUAUUUAUGGCCAGAAGCAGUCCAGACACUGAGGGAAACAUGAAGAAAUGUAAAACACAACUCGUCUCUCAAGUAAUUCCCAGUCUAUCUAGGGAUCAAUGCCCCUAAGUCCAGCAUGAAGAUCUGGGAGAUAGGAGAGAUUUAAAACAUCCUGGCCCAACUUCCUACCCAAGGCAAGAAGCCCCCCUACCCUAUUCCCACCAGAUCCAGCUUCUGCUGAAAUAAGUCUGGAGACAGAGGAUUUAGGGCUCAACCAUGCAGGAAGCCAGAUCUUUCCAGUUCUAAUUGUGAGAAAGACAAAAACAACAACAACAACAAAACCUCUCUCUGAUUUUAAGCUGAAAUUCAGCUUCUGGUAACGUUUGCCCUCCUGGCACGUUCACAGGCCGCUGUCCCAUCUUCCCUGAGUCAUUUGUGUGCCCUAAAUGGUUCCUCAGGCAAGUCCUCACCAUCCAUCUCCAGGUGCCAAUUCCUUCCCACAAGGCUCCCUUCGUGGAAGGUGUAUAGGGGGCGUCACAAGACACGAUAUUGAUUAAUUUGCUAAAUCUGUGCUUUCUGGGGUGUUCCGUAGAACACUAGUUCCACAGAGCUUAAGUAAGUACGUGCUCCAGCAAAAUAAACGCCCAUCCAUUAUUCCAUCCGAGAAAUCUCGGCAAAGCCAACCAGGUUCCAUUACUGAAACUUACCACCUCCAAGGUUAUGAGAGACUCGUGUAAGCCUGCAAAAGCGGAUACGGAAUGCUGUGAUGUCCCCCAGUCUUUUCAUGCCAGACUGGACUCUGCUCACGGAGCAUUUCCCAGAGACACUGUUCCUCAGAGAACUUUUGGGAGAAACGUAAGUUAAAAACAAACAAACAAACAAAAGUAAUCCAGACAGUGAGCCCAUAAGCACUAAAGACCAUUCUGAAGCUGGAUGGCGGGGCGGAAGCCAUCUUUUCCUGCCGCCCCCACUUGGCACUCAACAGAUCUGUGCCCAUGGCCUUGACUUCCGAUGGCCAGCACUGCAUGUCUGCCUGAGAGCUUUGCAGCUACUGGAGACGGUACCCACGAUGGCAACGGGCUGGAAUUCCUAGAAAUCCAGCGGCCCUCCUCCCCCAGAGCAGCUGUCAACCCAGACGGACAGGCGGGCUCCUCCACCCUUGGUGGAGAUGACUCAAGGGCAUGGUUCCGCUGGAGGUUCCUUUCCAUCCCGCCUCAUUUCCUCGCGCCUCUGCUGCUUUUUCCUGCCAUCUCCUUCCACAGAAACGAUUGGCACUCCAGUCCCGUCCGGGCUCUGCUUUUGGUGGAAUGGGACUGGGCCAUCAUCUUCUUCUGCACCAGAUGCACGCGCCUCACAAAUCUCGCCCUGCCUCGGUCUCCCCACGUGUUUUUCUAGGGCUUGGGGACUCAGUCUGGCCAGGAUGGAAGAGGACUCCAGACAGGGAAACAUGGGAAAGGGGGGGCAGCUCUCGGGCACAUAAAUCACUGUGCAGCCGAGAGCUCUGCUGCUCCCAAGCCUGCAAGGUAAUUCCCAGGGCUGCGAAUAACUUGGCAAGCAACCCGCAAGUCAGGGCGGGACGCGGGGCCAAGCUUCUGGGUCGCUUGUCUCCAUUUUUUACUGUGGGUGUAACCUUGAUCCCUCUGCAGAGGUAAACAACGGGGUCUGAAUUAUUUGGUUUGGAAAAGGAAGAGGCCCCAGGGAGGUACGCGCCGCAGUAAUAAAUGCGGAGGAGAAACAGCUGUGCGCCGCUCGCCCGCCGCCCUCCCUCAGCGCCACCCCGGGCCGUCUCUGAAGGCGGAAAGGCAUCGCUCUCCCCGUCCCAAGUAUGGGCCGGCGUUGCCGAAGCCACAAAUCACCAAGAAAAGUGCAGAAGAAAGUUCGCCAUUUCUUGGAAUGGAGAUCAUAAUAAAUAAUAAUAAUCUGUUCCGUGUAUUUAGCCAAGGCAUUUUCUCCAAGGAGCUUUGUGCUCAAAUUUAUUGUACGUCCCCGGGGUCUGGAUAUGUUUUAAUUAAACCGUUUAUUGGGAAAAACAUACAAAGAAAACGGGAAAAAAAAUUAACCCCAGAAGUGAGUUAUGUGGCGGUGAUCACCAUCCUGGGUUUCUUCCGCAUUUUCUUUUCAUUCUUUUGUGCGGUAGAUGGUUACAGCAGGACCAGUCCUGCUGUGUCAGCUGUCCAUCGCAUAAAAAAAUAAGCCUAAGUACAUGGACCAGAUGCCCUGGAAGAGGGAGGGGAAAGGCGUGGAGAUACCUUGACCAUUUCCUAAGUGCCAGACACAUCAGGCACACAUUAUAUUCUUUUCUUUUCUUUUUUUUCUUUUUGUCUUUUUGUCUUUCCUGGGAACCUCCAUAUGCUUCAGGUACGGCCCUAAAAAGCAAAAAUAAAAUAAAAUAAAAUGAAAUUUUAAAACAUUCAAAACAAUGGUGUAUGUGGGUUUACAGCCACCUCCCUCCAUAGUACAAGUCCAGGAAGUGUAGAAGAUGACACGACAGCCCCUGAGAAAAGGGAGGCAGGGAGGCAGCAAGAGAUGGGGUUUGCGCUGUACAGUGGACCCUUGAACAACACAGGGCUGGGGCGCUGACCCUUCUCACAUUUGAAAAUCCGAGUAUAAUGUAUAGUCAGCCCUCCAGAUCCAUGGCUCGACAUCAGCGGAUUCAACCAACAUGGAUGGUAUAGUACUAGAGUGUUUACCAGUGACAAAAAUCCACAUACAGGUGGACACACGCAGUUUGAAUCCAUGUUGUUCAAGAGUCAGCUGUGUUGGGGAAUGUGUAUUUUUUUUUUUUAAUAUGUGAAAGAGAAACAAGGGCAGUGUGGCAAAAUCUUAUUUGUCUAACCUCAGUGGCAGGUUCAUGGAUGUUUCAUAUUACUUCCCAUACUUUUCUGUGUUUAGAACUUUUGUUAUUUUAAAUGCUAUUUUAAUAAUUUGUUUAAAGUUCACCCCAAAUUGAAUAUUGACAUUCCCUGGGAACCAGCCAUUCUAUUCUCAAGUCUGUACACAGUGGAAUGCAUCCACGUGCUCACCAAGACAUGCACGAAGAACAUUCAUCACAGCAUGAGUUUUACAUCCCCACGCGGAAAACACCCCCAAUGCAUUGGUCAUGGUCUGCUUUAUUUUUUCCUCCAGUUUUAGUGAGGUAUAUGUGAUGAAUAAAAUUGUUUAUAUUUCAAGCGUACAACAUGGCAAUUGGAUAUACAUAGACUUUGUGAAAUGAUUACCCCAAUCAGGUUAAUUAACACAGUUAUCUCUUUUGUGUGUGUGAUGAGAACGCUUAAAAGCCACUGUCUUAACAAAUUUCCAGUAUACAAUUCAGUAUUUUCUUGCCUAAUUGAUCUGACUAGGAUUUUCAGUACUAUAUUGAAGAGAAGUGACAAGAGUGGGCUUCCUUGUCUUGUUCCUGAUCUUAGAAGCAAAGCUUUCACCUUUUCAUCAUGGAGGAUGGUGUUAGCUGUGGGCUUGUCAUGUAUGCCCUUUCAUUAGGUUGAGGUACAUUCCUUCUAUACCUCAUUUAGUGUGAGUUUUUAUUCAUGACAAAGCAUUGGAUUUUGUCAAAUACUUUUUCUACAUCUAUUUAAAUGGUUAUAGGAUUUUUAUCGUUCAUUCUCUUAAUGUGGUGUAUCACAUUUAUUGAUUUGCAUAUGUUGAACCAUCCUUGCCUCCCAGGGAUAAAUCCCACUUGAUUAUGGUGUAUAAUUCUUUUAAAGUGCUGUUGAAUUUUGUUUGCUAAUACUUCGUUGAGAAUUUUUUGCAUUUAUAUUCAUCAGGGAUAUUUGGCCACGUAUUUACAAAUGUUCUAGUUUUUCUCUUGUAAUUGAUUUCUCAUUUCAUACCACUGUGGUCAAAAAAGACACUUGGUAUGAUUUCAAUUUUCUUAAAUUUGUUAAGACUUGUUUCAUGACCUAAGAUAUCCUGGAGAAGAUUCUGUGCGUGCUUGAGAACGAGGUGUUCUGCCGCUGUUGGAUGGAAUGUUCUGUACAUGACUGUUAGGUCUGUUUGGUCUAAAGCAUAGUUCAAAUUCAAUGUUUCCUUAUUGAUUUUCUGUCUGGAUGAUCUAUCCAUUGUUGGAAGUGUGGUAUUGAUGUCCUCUACUUUAAUUGUAUUGUUAUCUAUUUCUCCCUUCAGAUCUGUAUUUGCUUAAUAUAUUUAGGUCUUCUGAUUUUAGGUGCAUGUGUAUUUGCAAUUGUUAAGUCCUCUUGAUGAAAUAACCCCUUUAUUAUUAUAUGAUGACUUUUGUCUCUUGUUACUAUUUUUCAGGGGGGGGCGGUGCCUACAGCAGCCUGAUGUGAGAUCUUAGUUCCCAGACCAGGAAUUGGACCCAGGCCACAGUGGUGAAAGCACAGAGCCCUAACUACUAGGCCACUAGGCAACUCCCACUUGUUACUAUUUUUGAAGUGUUCUAUUUUGUUUGUUAUAAGUAUAGCAGCCCCUGCUCUCUUUUGAUUUCCAUUUGCCAGAAUAUCUUUUGCCAUCCCUUCGCUUUCAGCCUAUGUGUGUGUGCUCUUAAAGUUGAGUAAGUCUCUUGUAGGCAGCAAAUAGCUGGGUCUUUUUUUUUUUUUUUAAUCCAUCUAGCCACUCUCUCUUUUGACUGGAUAAAUUAGUCCAUUUCCAUUUGAAAUAAUUAUUGAUGGGUAAGGACUUCCUAACACCAUCUUCUUAAUUGGUUUCUGGUUGUUUUAUUGUCCCUUUGUUCCCUUCUUCUCCUCUUACUAUCUUCCUUUGUGCAUUGAUAACUUUCUGUAGAGGUAUGCUUUGAUGCCUUCUUUUUACUUUUUGUGCAUUUACUCUAGAUUUUUGCUUUGCAGUUACCAUGGGGAGUACCUAAAACAUCUUAGAGUUAUAAAAGUCUAUUAUAAGCUGAUAACUCCAAUUGCAUAUACAAAAACUCUGCCCUUUUACUCUCCCCCCACAUUUUGUGUUUUUGAUUUCACACUUUACAUCUUUUUAUAUGGCGUAUCCAAUGACAAAUUAUUGUAGCUACAGUUAAUUUUUAAUACUUCUGUCCUUUAACUUUUAUAGUUCAGUGAUUAUCACACCACCAUAUUACAAUAUUAAAGUACUCUGAAUUUGAUUACAUACUUAUUUUUACCAGUGUAUUUUUUAUGUUCGUGUGUUUUCAUGUUACUAAUUACCAUUCUUUCAUUUCAGCUUAUAUAACUCCUUUCAGCAUUUCUUCUAAGGCAGGUCUAGUGGUGAUGAACUCCCUCAGCUUUUGUUUGUCUAGAAAAUCUUGAUCGCCCCUUUCUUUCUGAAGAACAGCUUGGCUGGAUAAAGUUUUCUUGGUUGGCAGGGUUUUUUUU
rnacentral:lncRNA from 1 species